rnacentral:rRNA from 1 species
AACGUAGGACGCAAGCGUUAUCCGGAGUUAUUGGGUGUAAAGGGCGCGUAGGCGGCACUGUUAGUCAGGCGUGAAAUUCCUGGGCUCAACCUGGGGACUGCGCUUGAUACGGCAGAGCUUGAGGAUGGAAGAGGGUCGCGGAAUUCCCAGUGUAGAGGUGAAAUUCGUAGAUAUUGGGAAGAACACCGGUGGCGAAGGCGGCGACCUGGUCCAUUACUGACGCUGAGGCGCGACAGCGUGGGGAGCAAACAGG